rnacentral:lncRNA from 1 species
UACUCAUGGAUACAUAUUGCAUGUGCUAAGAUGCCACCAAUGAGCCUAAUCUUAGGUACUGUUUAAUAUAUAUAUAUAUACAUACACAAGGAAAGCAUCUUACUUCCUCUGCCUUCUCCAAAAAAAAAAAAGCUACCAUUUAUGCUUCACAAGAAUAAGUUGGUAACACUUAUCUUGUGAUAAAGAUGCAAAGAGUGCAAUUGCAUGGGUGC